GACCACGGAGCCCAGUAACAACAGGGCCUAGGGCGGCCUCCGAGCACAACAGGCAGGAAGGAGUGUUCUCAGGAGCUGCUCUUCUGCCCAUCCGAGUUUCUUCUCUGGUUAUAAGUGGCCACAUGGACACCAGUCAUUGACUCAUUAAGGGCCAGUACUCAGGGACGCCCAUGGAACCUGUCCAAGCAGCCCUGGCUGUGGACCUGUCUCUUUUGAGCGGUGAUGCAGACGGGAGGUCAGUGCCUCCCAGGCAGCCUGGGACUCUGGCCUCUGGCUCUCCUGUGCCGGAAUGAGCUGGAAUGAGCCAGAAUGACGUGGAAUGAGCUGGAAUGCCUCUCCAGAUGCUCCAAGGUCGGCCUCCAGCCACCUCCUCCAGAGCCACAGCCUCCUCCCAUUGCGAUGGGUCCCGGGCCCUUCCCGAUGGCUGCUGGGCAUGGAGAAAGUGGAGUGACCCCCGCUUCCCGCCGCCUGGAAAAUGCAGAGAACGGGGGUUCUGAAGUGGGUGUGGGAGAAGCAGGCUUCACUCUGGACAGGUCACACGUGGCAUGGCCUUGGCGCAGCUCAGUGGGAGCACUGGGCUGGCUCGGGCUGUUUGCACCUGGAGCUCAGGGACGUUCCAGACUGGACAAAGGUGGGGCUGCUCGACUGAGGGCUGUGUGAGGUGAGGCCGGCCGCUGAGAGGUGGCAGGGAUGGCGCAGGCUGGUGCCACUUCUCAGAGUCCACGUCGUUACUCUCCAGUGACUGCCUUGUGGCUGCUGCAACAAAGGGCUGCAAACGGGUGGCCUUAGGACAAGACAAAUGCAUUCACUUAUGGCUGCGGAGGCCAGAGGGUCACAGCAAGGUGCCGGCGGCCCGCGCUCCCUCAAGGGCUCCGGGGAGCAGCCUUCUCGCUUCCCCAGCGUCUCACACCCAGGGGUCCUUGGCUGGUGGCCGCAUCCACCCAUCUCUGCCUCAGUCCUCACAUCGCCUUCUCUGUUAUUUGAGUCUGCAAAUCUGCACCUCUCUUCUCUAAGCAUGCUUGUGACUGGACUGAGGCCCCAGCCUGAUGAUCUGGGAUAGUCGCUCCAUGUCAGGGUCCUUCAUCAUGUCUCCAGAGAACUUCCUCCUCGUGAGGUCAAUCGCAGCUUCUCACAGUUUUCUCCACACACGGAGGCCUGGGGAGACAGUAUGGAGAACAGAGAGCUCGAGUUUGCAGUCAGAGCUGCACUUGGAACUGAGUGCCUGGGCUGAUGGAUCUGGUCUGGGAGUGCUGGUUAUUUGCCC
ensembl:lncRNA